rnacentral:misc_RNA from 1 species
CAUGAUGAGGUCGAAACGAGUCUGUUGUGUUUUUGCUAUUGAGAAUGUGGAGCAUUGUUAAUUUAUGAGAAAAUUGAUACUUCCUAUGAUGGGGUCGAAACGAGUCUGUCCCCAAUCUCCAGUCAUGUUUGAUGCAUGUUAACACUAGUUCAAAAAAUUUAGGCAAAAAACAAUUAUGAACCCCUAAACUAUGUGUUUUUGCUAUUGCGUACUUGCAUUCAAUUUGUGAUCUAUUGGGCUUAUCAAAUCCUCAAUUUGGUCCUAUUAAGUACCUAUUUAGUGGAUGCCAAACAAGUUUCCUAAAUAAGUUAUGAAAUGUGAGUCAUUACUUGUACAAUACGUUGAUUUGAAAUAAAAGUGUGGUAAUAAUGCAAUAAAUUAACAAUUUGUUUUCUGUCCUUCAUAAUAAAUAUACUUAUUCAUUUCUUAAUACACUUUCCCGUUAUGGACUUCCGUUAGGUACUUUAUCUAAUAUUUUACUUUUUGGUUGGAUUGCCACUUAAUUAAAACCAAAUACAGGAGUUGAGUGGUUCAAGAGAACACAACUCCAGUUCAAG